ensembl:misc_RNA
GAGGCACCGAUCACUGCUCCGUCGUCACCUGCGAGGCCCACCUUGGCCACAGGCUCUGGAGGCCAGUGCCU